UCUGCUGAGGAGCCAAAGAUAAUGUCGUCAAUGAUAUUGGAUUGUCAUAAAUUUCCACAACUUUCAUGUCUACAAAAGAAAUAAAGAAAACCCUACAGAAAGCAAUACCGUGGCCAAUACGGAACGAGAGCGAUAGUGGCCCAGAAAUGAGAUGUAACUGAAUUCGAAGAAAUAAUAUCAACAGCAGCUGCACAAGUCACCCAGUCACCCAGAGAUGUAUUCCUGUCAAGAGCCUGUCAACCUUUCUCCUACCACUCCUUCGUGUGCUACCAAUCAAGUUUAUUAAAUGCCUCCUGCCAGGAUUCAAUUAUCUUCCUGACAUUCUUUUUGAAGCCAGUUGUGUUUUAUAAUUCAUCCAGCACACAUCCAGCUGAUACGUAUACGAGUACGUGGAUGGCUAAAACGCAGAGAUGACUUCGCCAGCUGUGUUUGUCAGAUAACAAAGGAGCCCAGGACUCUGACACACAAUACACACUCACCCUUUCCGAGUGGCCCCACAGUCCCCAUUGUGCAUUUCUUUGGCAAAGAUUUGAGUGCUGAUAUAUGUAUGUAUUUCCCAGCGGAUUCUCGGAAAAUUAAGUUAUGCAGAUGAGACCCAUUAUAAAAGUGUUGGCACAAGUUGUUAAUAAAAAUGUGAAAAUGUGAAAAAGAGAA